CCUACGGGAGGCAGCAGUGAGGGAUAUUGGUCAAUGGGGGAAACCCUGAACCAGCAACGCCGCGUGAGGGAAGAAGGUUUUCGGAAUGUAAAACUCUGUCCUCUGUGGAGAUAAUGACGGUAGCAGAGGAGGAAGCUCCGGCUAACUACGGGCCAGCAGCCGCUGUAAUACGUAGGGAGCAAGGGUUUUCCGGAUUUACUGGGGUUAAAGGGUGCGGAGGCGGCUUUGCAAGUCAGAAGUGAAAUCCAUGGGCUUAACCCAUGAACUGCUUUUGAAACUGCAGAGCUUGAGUGGAGUAGAGGUAGGCGGAAUUCCCGGUGUAGCGGUGAAAUGCGUAGAGAUCGGGAGGAACACCAGUGGCGAAGGCGGCCUACUGGGCUCUAACUGACGCUGAGGCACGAAAGCGUGGGUAGCAAACAGGAUUAGAUACCCCAGUAGUC
rnacentral:rRNA from 1 species